GACGAACGCUGGCGGCGUGCUUAACACAUGCAAGUCGAACGGACAGUCCCUGCUUUUGUGCGGUGCUCGAUUGCCGCACGGGUGAGUAUCACGUGAGUAACCUCCCCUUGACUUUGGGAUAUCUUCAGGAAACUGGGGCUCUUAUCGCAUAGGAUCUCUUGCUGCAUGUUGGUGGUUGGAAAGUUUCGGCGGUUGUGGAUGGACUGGCGGCAUAUCAGCUUGUUGGUGGGGUAGUGGCUUACCAAGGCUUUGACGGGUAGCCGGCCUGAGAGGGUGACCGGCCACAUUGGGACUGAGAUACGGCCCAGACUCGUACGGGAGGCAGCAGUGGGGAAUAUUGCAGAAUGGGCGGAAGCCUGAUGCAGCAACGCUGCGUGCGGGAUGACGGCCUUCGGGUUGUAAACCAAUUUCGCAUGAGACGAGGCGUGAGUGACGGUAAUGGGUAAAGAAGCACCGGCUAACUACGUG
rnacentral:rRNA from 1 species